rnacentral:rRNA from 1 species
AUGAGUUAUGCAUGCGUGCGCAGCUUCCACUAUGUUCUUCUGGAGAUUAAGCUUGAGCGGGGACUAGUAACCGUCUUAGAUUCGAGACGAAAAGAUCCCGAAACCUAUGUGGACAUGACUAAAUUGCUCAACAAGGUUUGGAAACAGUUCACCGCAGAAGCUCCGGGACUGCCGAAGGAGCUGCAAUAUACAUACCCAAAAUGCUUGUGGCAGGAACAAGGAAAUGAUUUCUGUGGAUACUACGUGUGUGAGUUCAUCUACAACGCAACUUUGAAAAAUAAGCGGGGCUACUCUAAAAGACAAUAUGAAGUGCAUAAGCAAUAA